rnacentral:rRNA from 1 species
GAUGAACGCUGGCGGCGUGCUUAACACAUGCAAGUCGAACGGUGAACGAGGGAGCUUGCUCCCUCCGGAUCAGUGGCGAACGGGUGAGUAACACGUGAGCAAUCUGCCCUGGACUCUGGGAUAAGCGUUGGAAACGACGUCUAAUACCGGAUACGAGGCGUGGGGGCAUCCCCAACGCCUGGAAAGAACUUCGGUCCAGGAUGAGCUCGCGGCCUAUCAGCUAGUUGGUGAGGUAACGGCUCACCAAGGCGACGACGGGUAGCCGGCCUGAGAGGGUGACCGGCCACACUGGGACUGAGACACUGCCCAGACUCCUACGGGAGGCAGCAGUGGGGAAUAUUGCACAAUGGGCGCAAGCCUGAUGCAGCAACGCCGCGUGAGGGACGACGGCCUUCGGGUUGUAAACCUCUUUUAGUAGGGAAGAAGCGAAAGUGACGGUACCUGCAGAAAAAGCACCGGCUAACUACGUGCCAGCCGCCGCGGUAAGAC